AUGCGACGCCGGAGGCCAUGCAGCCGUGAAGCCGCAACAUUGCAAAGACGCAGGCCGCAAAGCCGUGAAGGUGAAAGAUGCAAAGCCGCUAGAUCGCGGCACCACAAAAUCAGGAGCUACGAAGCCACAGAGAUGCGUUGCUGGGGGCGCGCGAUAGCCAAGUUCAGUCCAUUAUAUGUACCCUUGAUCCCCGUGUUGGUCUUCUGCGCCUGUCGGUUGCACGAUAUAUUUAGGAGGUUUGGUCCCAUGGGCAAACCUUUGCUCUUUAACUAA
rnacentral:rRNA from 1 species